UUCGGAAUAUUCGGCAAUGGACGCAAGUCUGACCGAGCGACGCCGCGUGCGGGAUGAAGGCCCUCUGGGUUGUAAACCGCUGUCACGAGUGAGCAAAUUGCUUAGUUUUAAUAAAAUUGAGCAUUGAGUUAAGCUCGAGAGGAAGCCCCCGCUAAUCACGUGCCAGCAGCGGCGGUAAUACGGAGGGUGCAAGCGUUAUUCGGAUUUAUUGGGCGUAAAGGGCGCGUAGGCGGCUUUUUAAGUCAGAUGUGAAAUCCCGUGGCGUAACUACGGAAGUGCAUUUGAAACUG
rnacentral:rRNA from 1 species